AUUAUUAUGAUCAUUAUUAUAUAGCCACAUUAAUUUUGUCCCAUUUAAUACCAACACUAUUCUAAAGGUAAUCGUACAUUCAUCCCAAAAUUAUAAUUCGAAUCAACCAAAUGACUUAUUAUAGUCAUCAUAAUUAUGUCCUAUUUCACCAAUACUAUGUCUUUAAGAAAUUAAUCUUAAUAUUUUCAUGUUGCGUUUACAGUAAAAAGGUUAAAGCCGUUACGAUGCUGGCCAAACAAAAUUGCAUCAAGCUUCUGGAUUUGAACUCUGGAGAAGCUGAUUUCAUCGGUUUGCCUUCAGGGGCCAUAUCGUAGUCCUGCCAGCAUUCGACGCAUACGAUGAAUAACAUGAGGAUCAAACCCAGGAACCACAAACUCCGUCCCAUUCUUCCGCUAAGCAUCUUGAGGUGGUUGAGAUAUGAUGGAUACUAAGAACUAUCAAAGAAUAAAAUUAACUUGGUAUGCAAAUUGCAAAUUACCAUUUCAAUGUUAUUUUCAGGUUUUUUUUUCACUUUUGAGAAAUAUAGGGAAAUUCAGUUGAGGUUGUCGUCUGAAUGUCAAAAACAUCGAGCUCUAAGCGCGAAAAGCACAAUGGGCAUAUUAUUAUUAUCAGACUGUUUUUGUAUGCAUGUCAACACUAUCUAAUUGUUAUGUUUUGCUGAUCAAGUUUUUGUCUAAUAAUUAUGCUAAUCGAUCCUGUAAGGUUAACCAUUGACAUGUAUGUUCACUGCACAACAACUUUCUGCAACGUUAAAACGUUUAAAAAUCCUAUAAAUUAUGCCGGGUUUUCUACUGAAUUGCGUUAGACGGGCGAAUAUAAUACGAAAUAGGUGAAACUCGUGGGAAUUCGUAAAUUAUAAAUCGCUUUUUUACCCAAACGGCUGGUGGGACGUAGCAACCGUAACUACGGCACAGAGUAAUUACAUACAGAGGUCUCACUUCAGGUUAAUUAGCCUUUCUCACGAUGACGAAUAUCCGCCAUUUUUGGGUGGCAUCUAAUUCUCGUUUACCAAUGCAGACAAUUAAAACAAUGUGAACAGCAAUUUUUCAAAAUAAACUAACCAUUUACAAAGCAAAUUUACCAUCAUUCGUCAAAAAAAUUAUAAAAAGUCGCUGUUAUGUGGACUUAUCUCGCAGACUUCGGCUGAAAUGCCACCCAAAAAUGGCGGCGUGAGAAAAGCUAAUUUAGCAUAAGGGAUUUUCCCAGUCGGCCAUGUUCGUAGCAAGUGCCCUAAUGAGACGCCGACACCCNNNNNNNNNNNNNNNNNNNNNNNNNNNCCCCGAAAACAUAUUGAAAUUUAGUGUUCCAAGGGGUGAAUUCUUCUCUUUGGGGCACUUACUAAAGUCGAUCUUUCUCAUCAGCCAAAAUACAACAUUUUUGAAAAUACGCGGAGUGAUUUUAACUAGAGAAUACUUAUGAUUUAUAUGUGGUUUACAGGUAUAAACUGGCCGUUGAGAAAGAUCGUGAGUCUAUUUUUACGACCAUAUGAAAACCAGGCAUUCCAGGUUUAAGAGCAUGCAUGGCAGGAAUAUAUGCCCAGUAAAAACUACCUUACGUUUUUUUCGCAGAAAUGAGACCUACACCGGCGUGUCGGAAGUAUCAAUUAUAUAUUAUAUGCAAAUCCAAUUCCAUCGUGCUUUUCGCGCUGAGAGGCCGAGGUUUUGGGGUUUUCACUUUAUGAAAGGACAAUCUUAAUUGAAUUAGCUGUAUAAUAUUUGGUUAAUUGGUUAAUUGGUUUCAUGUUUCGUAUCUGAAUAUCAUUCAACUGAAGAGUGAGAAUCCAUCUCUCAAAAGUUUAAAUAAACAUUGAUUAAUAAUGGGCAAUUUGCAUACCAAGCCAGUCAGGGUUAGCCUAACCCUAACCCUUCCCUCGUUUAUGUGGUAUGGGACUGCCCGCAGGCUAGUCAGGGUCUACUGUACAGAUCCAAUUAUACAAGAGCUGAAAGGUUUGUGAGUUUCGGCAGCCUGGUGGGAUAACGCCACCUGAAUUUACAUUUUACAACAAAUCCCCCAUUUCAACAUAAAUUUGGCUGCUUGUCUUUGCCUUUUUGGGGUUAAAAUUUCAAACAGAUUGUCUUUUCUUCCGUAGCUUGUUUCGAGUUAACAUCCAGCCUCCAGAUGUCAUCGAUUCGAGAAAUAAUUCAAGGUCGACUGUUGACAAUAA
rnacentral:lncRNA from 1 species